GUUAAGGCCCGACGACCACCUAAUUUGGUAAGAACCCUAAUCCGGGUUGGAGAGCGCCUCCGUGUUCUUAGCUUCUCUCAUUGGCGGAGAUGACGAUUUGGAUUUCUUUAACGUUAUGCGUUGUGAUUUUCUCCCAUAAAUCCUCUUAAUUCGCAAACCCACUACGAGACCUUUCGAUUGCGUCGUUCGUCGACUAAAUCGUUCUGGGCGGUGCUCAUCCGUUGUGGAUGCCAGACUGCUUCGAUUCUGGAGGCUAGGAAUGUUAAGCGUGGUGGAGAGCUUAUGUGGAUGGAUUUGCUCAUGGUGAAUGUUAACAUGAACAAAUUAAUGAUUUGUUGUACGCUGAUCCAUCUCAUGUCACUUGCCAACACAAACACUGGUUUUCCAGACUUGGUUGGCGAAGUCAGGGGCAUUAAAACGAGUUACAACGAAGAGACCCAGAGUACUUAACGUCUCAUGACAACCACAAGGCUUGAUAGGAUGAAAAACAUGGUGUUUGGCCUUCGGCCCUCCGCAGGCACUCGACUGUCUGCUUGAGUGUAUUUGGCGGGCUUGCUGGGCAGAAGGACAAAAAAAUGCGCUACUCUGAUGUAGAGUAGAACCAAAGUUUGUUGUUGGAACAAAUAUACCCAAAGUUUAUUGGAGGCAGGCUGUUCAUCAACGCUUCUUCUGGUACUCAUUCAGAUCCAUAGAACAUUCCGAUCAGAGAUAAAGACAGAGAGACACCAUUGGGUGGCCGAGUAUCAUGAGAGGAAAAAAAAGAGGCUCAAGAGAUACCAUAGAUUCUUUUGCGUCUUGCAGAGAGGUUGGCAAGGUGAUUGAAUAAGACAUGACUGUUCUUAAUUUUGGUUUACUAAUUUCAGGAACUUAUGAUCCUGAUUCCUUGAACUAGAUGAUUUCUUUUGUUUUCUUUCAAACCG